rnacentral:rRNA from 1 species
GUGGGGAAUUUUGGACAAUGGGCGCAAGCCUGAUCCAGCAAUGCCGCGUGUGUGAAGAAGGCCUUCGGGUUGUAAAGCACUUUUGGCAGGAAAGAAAUAGUGCGUGCUAAUACCAUGCGCGAAUGACGGUACCUGCAGAAUAAGCACCGGCUAACUACGUGCCAGCAGCCGCGGUAAGACGUAGGGUGCAAGCGUUAAUCGGAAUUACUGGGCGUAAAGCGUGCACAGGCGGUUUUGUAAGACAGGUGUGAAAUCCCCGGGCUCAACCUGGGAACUGCCCUUGGUACUGCAAGGCUAGAGUGUGUCAGAGGGAGGUGGAAUGCCGCGUGUAGCAGUGAAAUGCGUAGAGAUGCGGAGGAACACCGAUGGCGAAGGCAGCCUCCUGGGAUAACACUGACGCUCAGGCACGAAAGCGUGGGGAGCAAACAGGAUUAGAAACCCGAGUAGUCC